rnacentral:lncRNA from 1 species
ACAAUAGUUUCCGGUGUAGAAACUAUUGUGCGAAAAGAAUUAACUAAAUGCUAAAAAGGAAAAUGUAAAUUGCAAGGGAAAUAGUGUAGAACUUGUAAAAAAAUAAAUAAAGAAACAAUGCCUAAUUUGCUGGAAAAGAAAAUUGCAAAAGCGAAAAACGGCAAAGGAAAAAAUUGGAAAAGCUUCGGAACCACCUUAGGUUUUAAAAGUGGCUAUUUAUAUUGGUGUCAUUAAGUAACUGC